rnacentral:rRNA from 1 species
GAACGGGCGCGCAAUGCUCAGUGGCGGACGGGUGAGUAACGCGUGAUCAACGUGCCCAUUACUGGGUGAAUAACCAUGGUGAAACCCAUGGUCUAAUGACGCAUAUGACCACAACCCGGCAUCUGGGAGGGGUGAAAGAUUAUCGGUAAUGGAGCGGCUCGCGUACUAUUAGCUAGUUGGUGGGGUAAAGGCCUACCAAGGCGACGAUAGUUAACCGGCCUGAGAGGGUGAACGGUCACACCGGAACUGAGACACGGUCCGGACUCCUACGGGAGGCAGCAGUAUGGAAUAUUGGGCAAUGGAGGCAACUCUGACCCAGCAACGCCGCGUGAAUGAUGAAGGUUUUCGGAUUGUAAAGUUCUUUUAUAUGGGAAGAAAAAAAUGACUGUACCAUAUGAAUAAGCCCCGGCAAACUACGUGCCAGCAGCCGCGGUAAU